GACGGAGGGUGCUAGCGUUGUUCGGAAUUACUGGGCGUAAAGUGUGCGCAGGCGGUUUCGCAAGUCAAGUGUGAAAGCCCCGGGCUUAACCUGGGAACUGCGCUUGAAACUACGGAACUCGAGUAUGGCAGAGGAAGGUGGAAUUCCACGUGUAGCGGUGAAAUGCGUAGAGAUGUGGAGGAACACCGAUGGCGAAGGCAGCCUUCUGGGCCAAUACUGACGCUCAUGCACGAAAGCGUGGGGAGCAAACAGG
rnacentral:rRNA from 1 species